CUGAGGGGAGGCACCCCCUGGAAACAUCCCAGGGUCCCCAGAGAACCUGAAGCCCUCAGGAGACUGGCUGAUGAUCACUCCUAAAUACACCUGUGAGUCCACCUCUGGAGGUCUGGGAAUCGAAAUGUGCUUGGGAACCUCAAGAGAAGAGGAAUUUACCCACUGCAUACAGGGCAGAAAGAGCUUUAUACCAUCAUCCUGACUACACGCACAGCAACAAGAAUGGAAAGAAUCCUCACCUGGAGUCAUCACAGCUGGCUAAGUAGAGCUCCACUGUCCCAUGAAAGGUAAAGGUAACUUUUGAGACAGCCAACAUGCCCUGCUCCAGUCACAUACUGGAAGCUGGCUGGUCAACGCACAGCUGAAGCCUGAGGAAACUCCUCAAGGAACUUAUCUGAAUUGGACUUUAAACUGAACUUUGGGAAAAGUGGGGAGGAAUAUCACACAGGGAAAAGUAAAAACUUGUAUGUAUAUUAGUCCACCACCCUGAUAUAACUGAUAUACAUCUCUGUAUAGCUAAGUAGGCUCUGCAGCUACAGACAGAGAACUUUAAAAUCCUAACACACCAGAUGAACAAAGAUUCAAAGGAAGUAGAAAACUCCAUAACUCGACCAAAAACAUCCUUAGCCUCACUAGCUGAGGUAGUCUUACAAAAUCCAAGGGGGCUGGAUCUUCUGUUUCUGAAGCAGGGAAGCAGGCUUCUAUGUGUAACCCUGGGAGAAACGUACUGCUUUUACACUACUUUAAUAAUCCAUGAGUAAUAAGAAACAGCAUGUCACUAGUAAGAAAAGGGUUGCAGAGAGAGAGGAGGUGUGGGCCAAU